ensembl:rRNA 5_8S_rRNA 5.8S ribosomal RNA
GACUCUUAAAGGUGGAUCAUUCGGCUCCUGCAAUGGUGAAGAGUGCAGCUAGCUGUGAGAAUAAAUGUGAAUUGGAUGACAUUGAUCAUCAACACUUGGAACUCACUUGUGGCCCAGGGUUCCUCUAGGGUCUAUGCCUGUCUGAGCAUUG